rnacentral:rRNA from 1 species
AUGGAUAAGCCUGAACCGCUCGCCGCUGUUGCUGCCAUUGUUGACCAGUGCGUAGAGCGGGAAGAGAUGGCUGCGUCGGAGCUACACUUCCUGCUGGUGCCGCUGGUGGCGCAGGGCCACAUCAUCCCCAUGGUGGACCUGGCGCGCCUCCUCGCCGCGCGGGGGCCGCGCGUCACCGUCGUCACCACGCCUGUCAACGCUGCGCGGAACAGGGCCACCGUCGACAGCGCCAGGAGGGCGGGCCUCGCCAUCGAGCUCGCGGAGCUCCCCUUCCCCGGCCCGCAGCUGGGGUUGCCGGAGGGGCUGGAGAACCUCGACCAGCUGCUCGACGACGUCAGCAGUACCACGUACCUCGCCUUCUUCCAGGCCAUCUGGAAGAUGGCGGAGCCGCUGCAGGGGUACGUCCGUGCGCUGCCGCGGCGGCCGGACUGCCUCGUCGCCGACUCGUGCAACCCGUGGACGGCGGGCGUUUGCACGGCGCUCGACAUCCCGAGGCUGGUGCUGCACUGCCCGUCCGCCUAUUUCCUCCUCGCCGUGCACAACCUGUCCACGCACGGCGUGUACGACCGCGUCGGCGACGACGAGUUGGAGCCGUUCGAGGUGCCGGACUUCCCGGUGCGCGCCGUCGGGAACACGGCCACGUUCCGCGGCUUCUUCCAGCACCCCGGCGCGGAGAAGGAGCAGCGCGACGUUCUCGAUGCCGAGGUCACCGCUGAUGGCCUGCUGAUCAACACGUUCCGCGGCGUCGAGGGCAUCUUCGUCGACGCGUACGCGGUGGCGCUCGGCAAGAGGACGUGGGCCAUCGGGCCGACGUGCACCUCCGGCAUCUUGGACAAGGACGCCGACGCCAUGGCCGGCCGCGGCAACCGCGCUGACGUCGAUGUCGGCCACGUCGUCUCAUGGCUCGACGCCAUGCCACCGGCGUCUGUGCUGUACGUCAGUUUCGGCAGCAUCGCGCAGCUGCCAGCGAAGCAGCUCGCCGAGCUCGCGCGCGGCCUCGAGGCGUCGGGGCGGCCGUUCGUCUGGGCCAUCAAAAGGGCCAAGGCCGACGCCGCCGUGAAGGCGCUGCUCGACGAUGAAGGGUUCGAGUCGCGCGUGGAGGACAGGGGCCUCGUCGUGCGCGGGUGGGCACCGCAGGUGACCAUCCUCUCGCACCGGGCGGUGGGCGGCUUCCUCACGCACUGCGGCUGGAACGCCACGCUGGAGGCCAUCUCCCACGGCGUGCCGACGCUGACAUGGCCCUGCUUCGCCGACCAGUUCUGCAGCGAGCGGCUGCUCGUGGACGUGCUCCGCGUAGGCGUCAGGUCCGGCGUCAAGGUGCCCGCCAAGAACGUCCCCGAGGAGGCCGAGGGCGUCCAGGUGCCGAGCGGCGACAUGGAGAAGGCCAUUGCCGAGCUGAUGGACGGCGGGUCCGAGGGGAUGGUGAGGAGGUCCAGAGCCAAGGAAGUCGCCGCGGAGAUGAGAGUGGCCAUGGAGGAAGGCGGGUCGUCCUACUCCGACCUGACGGACAUGAUCCACUACGUCUCGGAGCUGUCGAGGAAAAGCAGCCACGAGAGGGACGGAAGCUCGAUGACCCUGCCUUUCGCGGUGGCAGAGCUCCGAAGCAACGACAGCGACAAGAUCGAAGCCGGUGCUGCAUUGUCACUACAGUCCUAA